AACGAUAUUGAUUUGCUUGCAGAAAUUAAUAAAUAAACAAAAUGAUUCAAUUUACUAUUGUGUGAAAAAAUUACACAUUUCAAUUGACUAACAUCAAAUCUAAUCUAUGCAGGACAGAAACAUGAUAAAAUGGAAUACGUUGACAGCAGCUUGAAGAUCAAGAAAAUUGCAAACGAUAUACCUGAGACGAUUGAAAGAAUAGAAAGAAAGUUACACAAUUGAAUUUGGAGAAAUGAGCAAGCACCGAGAAGGAAAUCAAGAAGAAAUUCUUACUGGAGAAUUAGAAGAGAAGAAGAAAAAGUGAGUUCUGCCUCAACCGUUUCCCUUUCUUUUAUAGCUUUCUAUUUCCAGAUUGGGAAAUUUACAUGGGUAAUCAGGUACCGGAUCCUUCUUACAUGGGUAAUUUGGUGCCUUGAUAUUUAGGUAAUUUACAUCCUCCCUCAAAUUUGACGGCGAUUUAGUCGGCCAAUUUGUACUCACUGCAACCAUGGACGGUGCUUCCUUUGAUAUUGGAACCAUCUUAUGCCUCUUCCGGUGUCGAUAGAAUCCGUAAGUGUCAAGAACUUUCGUGAAUCCAUCAGCAAACUGGAGCUCUG
rnacentral:lncRNA from 1 species